UCAAAACUGACUUUUUUGUUCAUUCAGAUGAGAUUUUGCCAGCAAAUGAGGUACUCUUCUUUCUCCUAACAAUGACAAAUGAACUAGUUGUCCGACUAGUUGACAAAAUAUGAGGUAAUAAUCCUCUUGUUCUUUAUUGAUCUUGAAUGAUAUUAUAAAUAGAGCUGUACAACUAAAGUUAGAGUCCAAAUCCUUGUAGGAAAAGACUACUACCCUUUAUAGAAUAAUACUAACU
rnacentral:lncRNA from 1 species